CGAAGCACGCACUGGAGUUUCCCCGCUGCAGAUAAGUCAUAUCUGAUUGCGCAAUAGUUUUAGAUUUGCUUAGUUCUAUCGUAUUAAUAUCAAUAAAGGACACCGAUUAAUGUCAAAAGUGCAGCUGUAAAUCUAUUCACCUCUGCAGUUGAAUAGUUUAUGCUCAGGAGGCCUGGACUGGAGUUUCCCGCUGAAACCUGGAGGCAAAGCUCGUCGGCACUCUUUUUUUUCACUUAAUUCCAGACAAAGGUGCAAUGAAAUGGAGCUGUAAAGUAUGCAGGUAUAACGCAACAACGAGGGGUGACCUCUUACAACAUUACAGAUUACAACACUGGCCAUCUAGAACCUCAGUGGCAUGUCUUCAUUUGGAUUUUCCAUGCUCCUUUAAAACGUGGACUGCUCUCCAUCUGUCAAGGAUGAGCAGUGUUCUGUUGAUAUGACACGAGAGGUGGUCAUCCGCUGCAUGAUAGAAUUUCUUGGGGAACAUGCAGGAGAUCUCAUCAAAGAAUUCAACGACAACGGAGAACAAACGGGAAUUGAACGGCUUGUGAUGGCAGUAAUUGUGACCAGGACAGGAGCUUCAAGUGACAGUCCAAAGGACACCGUGAUGGUGUUCCCAGGGCUUGCUGUGUCCUCAUUGGUUUGACCAAUGCACUGAAUCUCCAUUAUCCCACGCAUCUAAAAUAUACCUUUUGAGGUAUUUCAGAAACUUCUUGGAGCUUAAUGCUUCAAAGAUGUCAAACAGAGUCUAGUCACUCAGGUCUAAACUGCUGUCUUAAAAUAAUAUUGUUUGUAGUAUAAUCUGUUCUGUGGUUCCAUGUUGCCAAACAAAGACAUCACGUUUUUGUGCACUUAUUUGAACAUUUUGUUCCUAGAAAGAGAGAGAAACCCUGAAAAAUUUGUUCUGCUAACUUGAACUGUUCUCAUCCUGUGUGAAUUGACACCUUGCCCUAAGAGGGGGAAAAAUACAUAAACAACAGUUCUGUUCAUAAAUAUUAGUGAUGUUCACUCCGUAAAUGUGACAAAGAAAGGAGUCUCUACAAGUAACUGUCAAUUGGACACUGAAAUCGAGUUGUCGAGAGGGUAAAAGUCCUUAAAGGGCUUUACUGUGUUCACAGGGCUUGCUGUGUCCUCUUUGGUUUGACCUACUGAAUGCACUGAAUCUUCAUUAUCCGGAUCUGCAAAGUAUAUCUUGGAGCUUGAUGCUUCAAAGAGUAGUGAGUGUUCACUCCGAGAAUACUAAUAGAUCCUAUUUUUGUGACUG